AUGAAAUGCAGCUGGAUCAUCCUCUUCUUGAUCGCACUAGCUACAGGGGUCAACUCAGAAGUCCAGUUGCAGCAGUCUGGGCCUGAGAUUGUGAGGCCUGGGACCUCAGUCAAAUUGUCCUGCAAGGCUUCUGGCUACACCUUCACAGAAUACUAUAUAGAGUGGGUGAAGCAGAGGCCUGAACAGGGCCUGGAAUGGAUUGGAAGGAUUGAUCCUGAGGAUGGUGAAACUAAAUAUGCUCAGAAGUUCCAAAGCAAGGCCACACUGACUGCAAAUACAUCCUCCAACACAGCCUACAUGCAGCUCAGCAGACUGACAUCUGAGGACACUGCAAUCUAUUUUUGUGCUAGACACAGUGUUGCAACCACACCCUGA